ACACUAGCUGUAUACUGCUGAGGCAGCACACGCUCCAAAAUUGUCAACAGUCUGAAGGGUUCUGGGCCUGCUUCGGGUAUUUUAUUUUUAUUGUUUGCUUUUUGGUUACGGAAUUAUUGUUGUAGGCAUCGGGGAGCACCUUUAUUGACUAAUACCUAGCUACACUGUGUCAGUAUGCAACAGUUGCAAAAUCAGAUUAUUCUAAACACCAAGAGGCAGUGGCAGAAAAUUGACAUGGGUAAACAACAAAUAUGGAACUUGCUGAAUUUCAAGUCUACAAUAAAAUCGAUCAAUAAAGUUCCACAGAACAUGAUGCAUUCUACACCUGUGAUUUUUAACCUAAAAAAUAAGUGUCAGGAUAUGAGAAAUUUUCCAGUAUUGGAAGGUGAAAUCCCAUCAUUCUGUAGACAUAUAUUUGAGGGAAAUAUGAAGAACAGUGAAACAUGUAUUCAAAGAUAUUCAGAGCUGUCUGAGAAGAUCAGCAAAAGCAGAACAAAAAGUGCAAUAUUGAUUCAUACACAGAGGACAAAGAAAUUGCUUGUUCACGAACGCUUAAAAUUGCUUCUUGAUGAUGAAUCUUUUCUUGAGCUUUCUCCUCUUGCAGGGCUUAAUAUGCCAUAUGGUGAUGUUCCUGCUGGGGGAUGUAUCACUGGAAUUGGAAGAAUAUCUGGAAUCUGGUGUUCUUUCAUGGCAAAUGAUUCAUCAAUAAAAGGUGGAACCAUUUAUCCUGUUACCUUGAAGAAAAUACUAAGAUGUCAAGAAAUAGCAAUUAAAAAUAAACUUCCAUUUGUCUACAUAGUAGACAGUGGGGGAGCAUUCUUGCCACUUCAGGCUGAGCUGUUUGCUGACAAAUUCCAUGGCGGCCGAAUGUUCUAUAAUCAGGCUGUAAUGUCUGCACUGAAAAUCCCUCAGGUGUCAGUUGUAUGUGGCUCUUGUACUGCUGGAGGUGCUUAUACUCCUGUGAUGUCAGAAGAAACAUCCAUUGUAGAUAAAAUUGGGACAGUGUUUCUUGGUGGUCCCCCUUUAGUUAAAGCAGCCACAGGAGAAGAUACUAAUCCUGAGGAAUUAGGAGGAGCCAGUUUGCAUGCUAAGGUCAGUGGCUGUGUUGAUCAUUUUGCAUCUUCUGAAAAAGAAGCAUUUGAAUAUAUUAAAAAUGCUAUUUCAACACUGAAUUAUGUAAUUCCCAUAGAAGAGAUUCCAGAAUUUGAUAAUCCCUUGUAUGGUGAUGAUGACCUCCUAGGACUUGCACCACAAGAUUAUAGUUACACAUUACAUAUAAAAUUGAUUCUGAGUCGGAUAAUAGAUGGCAGCAGAUUCCAAGAAUUCAAAGCUAAUUAUGGUAUAACUUUGGUAACAGGAUUUGCCUACAUAGAAGGUGAACUAAUUGGAAUAGUGGCUAACAAUGGUGAGCUGACACACAAUGCUUCUCUGAAAGGUUGCCACUUCAUACAGCUUUGUAGCCAAAGAAACAUUCCUAUUCUGUUUCUCAUGAAUACUGUUCCAUGUACUGCAGAGGCAACCAAUCCCAUACAGGCAGAAGAUCAAGCUAACAGGUUAAAGGCACAGGCCUCCAUGAUGGCUGCAGUUGCCUGUGCCUCUGUACCAAAGAUAACAUUUGUGAUUGGUGGCUGUUUAGGAAGUGAAAGUUAUGCUAUGUGUGGAAGAUCGUUUGAUCCAAACUUUCUGUUUCUUUGGCCGAAUGCAAGAAUUGCUCUUGUGGAUUCAAGACGUAGUUUCACAUUCAAACAGCUAUGGAACAAUAACAAUUCAGAACCAGAAAUAGACUUAAAAGUAUUAAAAGAAAAGCUGCAAAAGGAAAGUAAUGCACUUUACUCUUCUGCCAGGAUCUGGGAUGAUGGAGUAAUCUUGCCCCAGAAUUCAAGGAAGGUUAUUGGACUAUGUUUAAGAAUUAUGAAGCAACAAAGAUACCGGAUAGUGUCCAUGCAACAAUCUUCUUUUCCUAUCAUGAGAAUUGUCUUCCUACUGCAGUAACUUUCCCCCAAUAUUCUUAUGGAUCUCACCCCAGCCAUAUUUAGAUGAGUCCCUCAGACUGGCUUUUUCCACAGACUUUGGGCUAGAGAGAACAGCUACUCCUUUGUGGGUUGUCUGAUCUGAAAUGAUGGUCAAUUUCUUUGGACAAUAUUUUUCCUUACCUUGUCGUGGUCCUGAAAAAAUAACUUCUGGAUCCAGCCAUAUGGUAUCAUCACUGUGCAGAAUUGCUGUUGCUGUUGUAUUAGGUAAUGUGAUUAGAUUUUUUCCUGUAUCAGCCUAGAACAUCCCCCACAGAAAUAAAGUAAGAAGCAUUCUAUACUGUGCCCCAUUUUUCAACAUUUCACCUAUUUUUCCAACAAUAUAAGUAAAAGGUCUCAUAAACACUUUUUAAAAAAGUCUUGGUUUUAAGAGAGAAAACUGAAACACUAAUUCAAUCAUGUUCUCUCAAAAUAUCCUUUUUUGUUCCUCUAUGUAAAUGCCUCUUGUUCUUUGGGAAAAUACAAAAUAUUACGCUUGAAAAUAAUAUUGCAAAGAACGUCUGAACGUUAUCACACACCCAACCAGCCAAAUGUACAUUGCAUUCUCUAUGAAGUCCUUGCUGGCAAAUAUAUCUGUACACAUUACAUGUGCAAAAUAUUGGUUUUCUUUCCGAUAUAUAAUAUUUAAUUCUUACCUUCUCAAUAUUUAAGGGAAGGACAUACCGUCGAACUUCAGGUUGAGGAGCUUUUUGUGCAUUUUUCUUUACUUCUUCCCAAUUUUCUCGUAAAUUGGCUAAGUAUAAGUAAUUGUAAACAAAUUCAUACCUAUACAGGAAUAAAAGGCACCAGCUCUCAAUGAACAGGUCAUGGACUCUAGCCUAACAGCUACCUAUUUGACCAUGGCAGAAUAAUUAUUUCUGGGUCACUGAAAUCUAUAUGUCAAAAAUAUCACUGCAUAUAUAUUAUAUUUAUCACUGUAUUUAUAUUUUUCUAGUUAAUGACACCCAAAUCAAGUAGA